rnacentral:rRNA from 1 species
AGCUCCAAUAGCGUAUACUAAUAUUGCUGCAGUUAAAAAGCUCGUAGUUGCAUUUCCGAGGCAAGGGAUUAGUCCGACCUUUGGUGGGUAUUUAAUCCUCUUGCCUCGUCCUUGAGUGGUGCUUCUUGGUAUUAAGUUAUCGAGGAGAUAGCCGCUCAUCGUUUACUGUGAGAAAAUUAGAGUGUUCAAAGCAGGCUUAUGCCGUUGAAUAUAUUAGCAUGGAAUAAUAAGAUAGGACCUCGGUACUAUUUUGUUGGUUUGAGAACCAAGGUAAUGAUGAAUAGGGACAGUUGGGGGUAUUCGUAUUCAGUUGUCAGAGGUGAAAUUCUUAGAUUUACGGAAGACGAACUACUGCGAAAGCAUUUACCAAGGAUGUUUUCA